AAAAAACACUAAUUGAUGGGUUAAUUUUGGGAAUCUUAUAUUUACCUUUGCUCAGAGAAAAGUCUACCUCUUUAAAAUUUUUUUUAGUGUUUAUUUUAUUAUUUUUGAGAGAGAGAGAGAGAGAGUACAAGCAGGGUAGGGGCAGAGAGAGAGGGAGUCAUAGAAUCCAAAGCAGGCUCCAGGCUCUGAGCUGUCAGCACAGAGCCUGAUUCAGGGCUUGAAUUCACAAACCAUGAGAUCAUGACCUGAACUGAAGUCGGAUGCUCAACAACUGAGCCACCCAGGUGCCCUAAAAGUCUACCUCUUCUAUGUAUUUACAAUCUGAGGGAGACACACUGAGGCAGAUAGACACCAAAAGGAAGUAGACACAACUAAUUAACAAACACUGGAUAAACACAAAUAGAUAAGAGUAAAUAUUGGCUUCGAAUUCUAUCACAUUUCACAGAAGAGAACCUUGUUCCCACAGACAGAGAGCCAUCAUUAUGUCCCAGCAUCCCUCGAUUCCGCAGGGAUUGAAAGUCCCCAAGGAAAUGUGAUGUGACCUGUGAUGUACCAUUUUGGACCAGUCAGAAGGUGUGAAGGGCUUCUAGGACUUUGUUUAAAAGGGCCAAUGGAAAUGAGGAAGGAGGAGAGGCAGUGUUUUGGCCCCUGAUUGGUCGAAGAGAGUGACAAAAUGGAGAAAAGGAGGAAAGAACCAUCAAAUCCUGCAGCUGCAUCUGGAAGAAGAAGACUAAGAUGUUCCAGGUUUAAUUACCAGAAUGUGGGAGGCGACCUUGGAAGAGCAGUUCCAGGAGACCAUCUUUUUUGGGUGCCUAGGUGGCUCAGUCAGUUAAGCAUCUGACUUCAGCUCGGGUCAUGAUCUCAUGGUUUGUGAGUUUGAGUCCCACAUCAGGUGAGUUCAAGCCCUGCUUCAGGUGAGCCCCACCUUCCCCCCUGCCCAUGUUCUUUGCUCACUUGCACCCUUUCUCUCUCAAAACAAAAAAAUAAAUAAAUAAUUUGUUUAAAAAAAUAACA
rnacentral:lncRNA from 1 species